CCUACGGGCGGCAGCAGUGAGGAAUAUUGGUCAAUGGGCGCGAGCCUGAACCAGCCAAGUCGCGUGAGGGAUGACUGCCCUACGGGUUGUAAACUUCUUUUAUAAAGGAAUAAAGUGAGGCACGUGUGCCUUUUUGUAUGUACUUUAUGAAUAAGGAUCGGCUAACUCCGUGCCAGCAGCCGCGGUAAUACGGAGGAUCCGAGCGUUAUCCGGAUUUAGUGGGUUUAAAGGGAGCGUAGAUGGGUUGUUAAGUCAGCUGUGAAAGUUUGCGGCUCAACCGUAAAAUUGCAAUUGAUACUGGGAGUCUUGAGUACAGUUGAGGUAGGCGGAAUUCGUGGUGUAGCGGUGAAAUGCUUAGAUAUCACGAAGAACUCCGAUUGCGAAGGCAGCUUACUAAACUGCAACUGACACUGAUGCUCGAAAGUGUGGGGAUCAAACAGGAUUAGAUACCCUUGUAGUC
rnacentral:rRNA from 1 species